rnacentral:rRNA from 1 species
CCUAAUACAUGCAAGUCGAGCGAACGGACGAGAAGCUUGCUUCUCUGAUGUUAGCGGCGGACGGGUGAGUAACACGUGGAUAACCUACCUAUAAGACUGGGAUAACUUCGGGAAACCGGAGCUAAUACCGGAUAAUAUUUUGAACCGCAUGGUUCAAAAGUGAAAGACGGUCUUGCUGUCACUUAUAGAUGGAUCCGCGCUGCAUUAGCUAGUUGGUAAGGUAACGGCUUACCAAGGCAACGAUGCAUAGCCGACCUGAGAGGGUGAUCGGCCACACUGGAACUGAGACACGGUCCAGACUCCUACGGGAGGCAGCAGUAGGGAAUCUUCCGCAAUGGGCGAAAGCCUGACGGAGCAACGCCGCGUGAGUGAUGAAGGUCUUCGGAUCGUAAAACUCUGUUAUUAGGGAAGAACAUAUGUGUAAGUAACUGUGCACAUCUUGACGGUACCUAAUCAGAAAGCCACGGCUAACUACGUGCCAGCAGCCGCGGUAAUACGUAGGUGGCAAGCGUUAUCCGGAAUUAUUGGGCGUAAAGCGCGCGUAGGCGGUUUUUUAAGUCUGAUGUGAAAGCCCACGGCUCAACCGUGGAGGGUCAUUGGAAACUGGAAAACUUGAGUGCAGAAGAGGAAAGUGGAAUUCCAUGUGUAGCGGUGAAAUGCGCAGAGAUAUGGAGGAACACCAGUGGCGAAGGCGACUUUCUGGUCUGUAACUGACGCUGAUGUGCGAAAGCGUGGGGAUCAAACAGGAUUAGAUACCCUGGUAGUCCACGCCGUAAACGAUGAGUGCUAAGUGUUAGGGGGUUUCCGCCCCUUAGUGCUGCAGCUAACGCAUUAAGCACUCCGCCUGGGGAGUACGACCGCAAGGUUGAAACUCAAAGGAAUUGACGGGGACCCGCACAAGCGGUGGAGCAUGUGGUUUAAUUCGAAGCAACGCGAAGAACCUUACCAAAUCUUGACAUCCUUUGACAACUCUAGAGAUAGAGCCUUCCCCUUCGGGGGACAAAGUGACAGGUGGUGCAUGGUUGUCGUCAGCUCGUGUCGUGAGAUGUUGGGUUAAGUCCCGCAACGAGCGCAACCCUUAAGCUUAGUUGCCAUCAUUAAGUUGGGCACUCUAAGUUGACUGCCGGUGACAAACCGGAGGAAGGUGGGGAUGACGUCAAAUCAUCAUGCCCCUUAUGAUUUGGGCUACACACGUGCUACAAUGGACAAUACAAAGGGCAGCGAAACCGCGAGGUCAAGCAAAUCCCAUAAAGUUGUUCUCAGUUCGGAUUGUAGUCUGCAACUCGACUACAUGAAGCUGGAAUCGCUAGUAAUCGUAGAUCAGCAUGCUACGGUGAAUACGUUCCCGGGUCUUGUACACACCGCCCGUCACACCACGAGAGUUUGUAACACCCGAAGCCGGUGGAGUAACCUUUUAGGAGCUAGCCGUCGAAGGUGGGACAAAUGAUUGGGGUGAAGUCGUAACAAGGUAGCCGUAUCGGAAGGUGCGGCUGGAUCACCUCCUUU